GCGUGGGAUAACAAAUAAUUGUAAACUAUUUAAUGGGAAAAUAAAUCACACCCCCAACGCA
rnacentral:tRNA from 1 species